rnacentral:rRNA from 1 species
AACCCGAACUCUGUGAAGCUGGAUUCGCUAGUAAUCGCGCAUCAGCCAUGGCGCGGUGAAUACGUUCCCGGGCCUUGUACACACCGCCCGUCAAGCCAUGGGAGCCAAGGGCGCUUGAAGUGCGUCGCCGCAAGGCGCGCCCUAGAGCGAAAUCGGUGACUGGGGCUAAGUCGUAACAAGGUACC